rnacentral:rRNA from 1 species
GGAAUAUUGCGCAAUGGGGGAAACCCUGAUCCAGCAAUGCCGCGUGAGCGAUGAAGGCCUUAGGGUUGUAAAGCUCUUUUACCCGAGAUGAUAAUGACCGUAUCGGGAUAAUAAGCCCCGGCUAACUCCGUGCCAGCAGCCGCGGUAAUACGGAGGGGGCUAGCGUUGUUCGGAAUUACUGGGCGUAAAGCGCACGUAGGCGGCUAUCUAAGUCAGAGGUGAAAGCCCGGGGCUCAACCCCGGAACUGCCUUUGAGACUGGAUAGCUAGAAUCUUGGAGAGGCGGGUGGAAUUCCGAGUGUAGAGGUGAAAUUCGUAGAUAUUCGGAAGAACACCAGUGGCGAAGGCGGCCCGCUGGACAAGUAUUGACGCUGAGGUGCGAAAGCGUGGGGAGCAAAC